rnacentral:misc_RNA from 1 species
GAUGAAGAACGUAGCGAAAUGCGAUACGUAAUGUGAAUUGCAAAUUCAGUGAAUCAUCGAGUCUUUGAACGCACAUUGCGCCCGCCAGUAUUCUGGCGGGCAUGCCUGUCUGAGCGUCAUUUCAACCCUCAGCCCCCGCUCGCGGGGCGCUGGCGUUGGGGAUCGGCCGUCCUCGCGGCGGCCGGCCCCGAAACACAGUGGCGGUCUCUCGCGGACUCCCCUGCGUAGUAGCACUACCUCGCAGAAGGGACGAGCGGGCUGACCACGCCGUAAAACCCCCCACUUCUCCAGGUUGACCUCAGAUCAGGUAGGAAUACCCGCUGAACUUAAGCAUAUCAAUAAGCGGAGGA